rnacentral:miRNA from 1 species
CUAUCUCUCUCUCUCUCUCUCUCUCUAUAUAUAUAUAUAUAUAUUUUCAUAUAUAUAUAAUUUCAUAUAUAUAUAUAUAUAUAUAUAUAUAUAUAUAUAUAUAUAUAUAGAGAGAGAGAGAGAGAGAGAGAGAG